UACAGAGAGUGCGAACGUUGUUCGGAAUCACUGGGCUUAAAGCGCACGUAGGCGGCAUCGUAAGUGUCGGGUGAAAUCCCACGGCUCACCCGUGGAACUGCCCGGCAGACUGCGAUGCUCGAGUGUGGUAGGGGAGAACGGAACUCCUGGUGGAGCGGUGAAAUGCGUAGAUAUCAGGAGGAACACCGGUGGCGAAGGCGGUUCUCUGGUCCACAACUGACGCUGGAGGUGCGGAAAGCUAGGGGAGCAAACGGG
rnacentral:rRNA from 1 species